AAAAAGAUUGCCCGGCGCUGCUCGUUUGCUUCGCCGAGAAGAAAGAGAGAGUCAGGAAGUCGCCUCGAGCCCCCACCCUUCCUCUCCCAAAACACGCAACCUAUCCUCUCCCAGCGUCUGUGAAGGUGGAGUGGAGGAAAAGGAGAAGGAGAACGUGGGCGGAGGAGAAGGAGGAGGGGACGCGGCUGCGAGCACGCCGGCGGCCGUGCACCUCGAGGGAGAAUUGGGUGGGAGGAGAAGGCGACUUGGCGGCUUUGAUAUAUGGCCUUCCACCGGCGCCGCCACAGGGAUAGAUGGCAGGAUCUGAGGUAAGCCUGAUCCCUCGCCUCUUCUCGUGUCCCAUGGAAGACGACGACAGCACAAGCGAUGGCGGCCUCGUCUGGUGGCAAAGGAGGAGGCCACGUUCCUCAAGGCGUCGAUGGGCGCCGGCAGGCUCCGAAUCGAGGGCUCCCUCAGCUUCAAGAGGCUGUAGGUGGUGGAGACCACCGUUCCAUGGUUUCACCGAUGAGCAAGUCCAAGGAAGAGCUGGAGGUUUCUUCCUGGGUCCCUUUGUCUCUAGGGAAGCUACCUCACGGGGUCAAGAAGAGGCAGAGGAGGCCCCUGGACAUCAAGGAGCGAUGCCCCCAUCCUCUUUUCUCUCUCUCCAUGGACUGCUUCAAGACCUGGUUAAGAAGAUGCGGAUGGCGGCAGCAGUUGGCCAAAUCAGUUGUCAAUUUGAUUCACAUGCAGAUUUUGUGUGUGUUCAUAUAUCAUGUUGUAUGUGUAUCGCUAAUUAUUUUUUUGGUUGUUCAAUACCUAAAACACUUACUGAUUAACAUUAUAUUCCAUAAAAUGUAAGCAGCCAAGAAUUAUAAAAGGGAACAUGACGCCGAAGACUCAAAGUUCUUAGUUAUUUUCAUAUUGGCAUGUCGUUCUUUAUUUCAUGAAGAUUGUGAACCUUUGCUGGGAAAAUUCCUCUUCUAUAGGAAUUGAACUGUUUCAGACACGGCCUUCCUUUAUAGUUCACUAACUUCACUCAGAUCAUACACAUGCUCCUUAUAAGCUAUGGACUACCAUUCUUCAGAAUAAUUGUAAAUAUUAUCGAGUCGUGAGGCGCCGCUGUUGCUGUUAGACUAGCUGGAGAUGCAAGUAUGCGACAAUGAUUAUGACAUACGAAUGUUCUUAUUGCAAGUUGAAUUUCAAGAUACUUGUGAGAGGAAUUUCACACAAAUUUUUUGCAGCUUAAUUCACCAUACUUCAGUAUUACAUCAGGGAGGUGUGUUGUAUCAUGAGGGUGGUGCUAAGUUACCUAGCUAGAAGUUGUGCGCACCAAUAUGUGUGCAUUUCUUACUGCUGCAUAGCACGCCAUCGACGCUGGGUCGAUGGUGUCGUGCCUCGGCGGACGGGGUCAGGAAAGGCAACUUGUGCUUUGAUUUCCAAAGCGGUGGUUUGGAUAGCACACCACUGUUCCUUAGGGUCGAGAAGACGUCACUGAUGAACUAGCAUGGCCAGACUCCAGUCCCGUCUUAUCUGAUUCAUCUAUAGUGUCAUUUCGCUGCUUUAAGCAAUUGGAUGGUCUGUGUGCAGGUACAUCAACAACAAGUUCAGCAAGUAGUACAAGGCGACGAACGGAGGUACAAAUCAACGACCAGCACUUCACAUUACAGGUCAUAGAUGUUCUUGUUCUUUCAGUAUACAAUAAGGUUACUUCAGAUAGGAUUAGGCUGUUAGGAUUAAUAUUGAUAAAGUGCAGGUGUGUUUUGCUUCCACAAAAGUGCAGUGGCUGGACCUUGGUGUUAUCUCACUACCUAUCAAAGUCACCUAUCUCACCGUAUUGUCGAUGCGACCUAAACUUUUUUUGGGCAUUGCAAAUCUUUCUAGGCUGCUAUUUGUUCUACAAAAAAUUCUGCAGUGUGUUCAGUUUUACAACAUUAGAUAUCCUUGAAAAAAGUCACUUGUCUCAUGACCGAUGCGUUGGUGUUGUUCUUUUGUUUUCAUUGCAAGUCAUUUUGGACUGCCAUACAUGGGUAUACAAAAAGUUCCGCAGUGUGUUAGUUCAGAUUUUCAUCAUUAGUUAUCCUUGAAAAAAUAGUUGUCUUUCAUUAGCUUGAGUAGAACCGGCUUUCUAUUUAAAAUGUCAGGGCAAAACUGAAUUUUCAUUGAUUUUCAGUAACUCUUUUUAUGCCAGGAGUGACGCCUCUACUAAACGUGAUAUCAUCCUUGAACAAAGUAACAAAAAAAUGGUUAGACAGAUGGGAUGACUUAGGUAUUCUCAUGUUCCCACACCGCAACUGAACAAGCUAAACCUGAAAUUGUCUGUAUGGUUGGGGGCUCCUUUGCCUUGGAAAAUGCGGUGAAUCCUUGGUUUUGCCUCUUUGUUUCACAGUCUUUCAAAGUGCACUUCCACUCACACAAGGAUUCCAGUACUAUCUCAGAGUGUAUAAAAAUUAAACACAUAUUUGUUUGUCAGCAUGCAUAGCUUACGGGUGGUUUGAUGCGGAGCAUCCUAUGGUCAUCCCCAUGUACCUACCAUCGUCUUACCAAGAGCCAAGAGGACCUAUGACACGAGCAUGAGCUAGACCUCUCGCGAACGAGGUGACCUCUUUCCUUAGUGAUAUCACAUAUGAUCCACUCGAGACAUGGCUACUACCUAAGUCCGAUAUGCUAUGCAUGAUUAGGUGUCAAGAGGACCCUCCCGGAGAUGUACAUGAAGACGGACAAGUCGCCAAGUCCAUGGACGAAGAGAACCAACGGAAAGAGUCAAGAACACCUCCCAGGCCCCGGACAUCCGGCCACGACCCCGGACAUCCGGCCCCUGGAGCAUCCUCCUCAGCAGCCUCCCAGUCGCUCAACAAGUACAGGCCCCGGACAUCUGGCCCCAGCCCGGAAAUCCGGCCAGAAGCCCGGACAUCCGGCGCCACGCACCAGAACCUACAGAAGCUGCCUCCACCAGCCCGGACAUCCGGCCCUUCGGGAAGGCCCGGACAUCCGGCCCCGUCUGUCUGCGCACAGUAAAGGGCCGAAGCCCGUGUACCCUUUCGCCCCCCUAGACUAUAUAUACUCUCCCAUCUCCCUCUUUUUAGGGUUAGCAUUUGUUUAGCUCAUAUAUGAGAUAGAGCAUUGCUCAUCCAUACGGAUCUGCUCCUCGAGAGAGACCGCGGCCCCUCUACGGAGACGAUCCACGUUGGAUUCAAGACCCCCUCUUGGGUGGCCCCAUCAAGACCUCCUCGCGGAGAAGAACCGGUUACCCUUUGUAUCAUCCUUUGUUGGAUUUGGAUCUUGUAUCUCCCCUUGUGUUUCGAGGAUCUAGCAUAUGUGUGACUAUAUCUUGUUGGUUUGAGAGUUCCUCUUAUGUUUUCCCUUGUGA